UACGUAGGUGGCAAGCGUUAUCCGGAUUUACUGGGUUUAAAGGGUGCGUAGGCGGAUUUUUAAGUCAGCGGUAAAAUGUCCGGGCUCAACCCGGGCCGGCCGUUGAAACUGGGGAUCUUGAGUGGGCGAGAAGUAUGCGGAAUGCGUGGUGUAGCGGUGAAAUGCAUAGAUAUCACGCAGAACUCCGAUUGCGAAGGCAGCAUACCGGCGCCCGACUGACGCUGAGGCACGAAAGCGUGGGGACCGAACAGG
rnacentral:rRNA from 1 species